rnacentral:lncRNA from 1 species
CAUGAUUGAAGAUCUUGUCUUAAGGCCUUGAGCUCCACAACGUGAAAGAAAAGUCCUACUAAGUGACCAAGGUGGUCACUCAAUUAGACUGUGGAAUUAUAUAAGUUCAAAGGAUUUAAUUAAUCAAAAUUGCUUUUGAUCAAUUUAAUCGGGGGUUUGAUUUUAGUUUUGAAGGGAACUAAUUUUUGGAUCUAAUUGAAGUUAGUAAUUGUUAGAAACUAACCUAAGGGAGCAUGC